rnacentral:rRNA from 1 species
CCUGGGUCCCCACUCGAUACUGCUUUGGCUAGAGUCCGGUAGGGGAGCGUGGAAUUCCUGGUGUAGCGGUGAAAUGCGCAGAUAUCAGGAGGAACACCAGCGGCGAAGGCGGCGCUCUGGGCCGGUACUGACACUGAGGAGCGAAAGCGUGGGUAGCAAACAGGAUUAGAUACCCUGGUAGUCCACGCCGUAAACGUUGGGCACUAGGUGUGGGGUCUAUUCAACGGACUCCGUGCCGUCGCUAACGCAUUAAGUGCCCCGCCUGGGGAGUACGGCCGCAAGGCUAAAACUCAAAGGAAUUGACGGGGGCCCGCACAAGCAGCGGAGCAUGUUGCUUAAUUCGAGGCAACGCGAAGAACCUUACCUGGGUUUGACAUGUAGAGAAAAGCCACAGAGAUGUGGUGUCCUCGGGUUCGUACACAGUGGUGCGAUGGUUGUCGUCAGCUCGUGUCGUGAGAGUGUUGGG